UGCUGGCUUUGGCAGCCAUACACUAAAAUUAGAACGAUACAGAGAAGAUUAGCAUGGCCCCUGUGCAAGGAUGACAUGCAAAUUCGUGAAGUGUUCUAUAUGAGA